GGGAUAUUGCUAGUGCAGUUUUUUAAAGUAUUUUUUAAUACUAGGCAUUUUUUAGUUAUUUGUUAAUUUAGUGAUUUGGAUUAGUCAUUCAACUUACCUAAUUGAUAUGUGAAAACUUUUUGUAUGUCUUUUCUAGUAGUCUUUACUGAAUUUCUAAAAUUAUGACUUUCUUGAGCAAUUUGUCAUUUUAAUUAUUUUGGUAAAGUACAUUUGUAAGUACUUCUAGGAUAUAUGGAAGUAGAAAGUACACUUGGCAAUUGGACUGUUAAUUGCAAUCCCCUUAGGUCAUGGUUGUUUUUGUUCUUACUGGUAUUUUAGUAAUCUUUUAGAAGAAAGAUGUUUUACCAAAUUUGGUGACAGGUUUAAUAAAAUUUCUUUUUGUAUAGUUGAAAAACUUGUCCUUAUAAUUAUUAAGGUUAAAAUUAACAUAUUCCAAAAUUGAACAUUAUUCCAUCCCAUGAAUGAAGUAAAUUAUAUUUUAGUAUAUACUCCUUGAUUAUAGUUGUUAUAAUUUCAUUUGGAAUUUCUGAAAUGAUUCCUAAAAAAACAGCUUUAUACUUGUUCUGUUGUCAGAGGUUUUUAAUGUUUUACUGGCUCUUUGAAACCAUUUUGAGUAUUUCUGGCACAGGCUAGAAACAAGUAAUAUUUUUCUUUAAUUAUUUUGAAAUGUUGGCUUAAAAAGGUGUUGAAAUAAUAGCAGGUGUGUUUUUUUUUUUUUAAAAAAGUUAUUUAUCUUUUGUCCAAAAUCAACAGCAUUUAUGCAAGCAUGUGUUUUUUGAAACCCCUUAUUCUAUUUCCUUGUUCUUUGUGUUUGUCUUUAUGCCAGUAUCACACUGUUUUGAUAAUUGUAGCUUUGUAGUUAACAUUUUGAAAUUGAGAACUGUGACUCUUCCAGCUUUGUUCUUUUUCAGGUUUGUUUUGCUCGUUUCAGUCCUUUGAAACUCUGUAUGAGUUUUAGGAUUUUUUUUUAAAAUUUUUGCAAAAAAUGUCAUGGGAAGUUUACUUAGGGAUUAAGUCUGCACAUUGCUAUGAGUAGUAUUGACAUAAACAAUACUAACUCUUCCAGUCCAUGAACAUGGGAUGUCUUUUUAUUUAUGUCGUUUAUUUCUUUCAGAAAUGAUUUGUAAAUUUCAUUGUACAAAAAAUUUUCUUUGAUCUUACUGGUUAAGUUACUUUCCAAGUAUUGUAUUUUUAAAAUGCUAUUGCAAGUGGAAUAGUUCUUUGAACUUCCUUUGUGAAUUGUUCAUUGCUGUUUUUGCAUGCUGAAUUUGUAGCCAGGUAUUUCGUGGAAUUUAUUAGUUCUAAGAUUUUUAUUUUAUGCUCCCAAGGAAAAUUUUAGCCCGUAAUAUUUUUUUUUUGAGACAUAGUCUCACUGUUGCCCAGGCUGGAGUGCAGUGGCACUAUCUCCCAGGUUCGAACAAUUCUCCUGCCUCAGCCUCCCGAGUAGCUGGGAUUACACGUGCCUGCCACCACGCCUGGCUAAUUUUUGUAUUUUUAGUAGAGAUGGGGUUUCAUCAUGUUGGCCAGGCUGGUCUCGAACUCCUGAGCUCAAGUGAUUCUCCUCCCUUGGCCUCCAAAAGUGCUGCAAUUACAGGCGUGAGUCACUGUGCCCGACCAGCCUAUAAAAUUUUAGUGGAUGCCAAGAGAGAUACUUUUACUUCUUUUCUGACUUGGGUGUUAUUUCUUUCCUUUUGUUACUUGAUUGCUGUGGCAAGGAUUUGUAAGACUAUGUUGAAAAGAAGUGCCAAAAGCAGGCAUCCUUGCUUUGUAACUGAUACUAGAGGAAAUCCUUUUAAUAUUUAACCUUUGAGAAUAAUGUUUGUUUUGAGUUUUUCAUUUAUAGCUUUUACUAUGGUGAUGUGAUUUCAUUCUAUUCCUAAUUUGAUGAAUGUUGAAUUUUUUGUUCCUUAGUCUUUGUCUUGCUUUAGUAAGAGGGUAAUGCUGGCCCCAUAAAACGUGUUGGGGAGUGUUUCCUCCUUGAAUUCUUAGAAAAGUUUGAAAACACUUAUUUGUUAUUUAAGUAUUUCUUUCAUGGAAGAUUUUUUUUUCUUUUUUUUUUUUUUGGCGAUGGAGUCAUGCUCUGUCACCCAGGCUGGAGUGCAGUGGCGCGAUCUCGGCUCACUGCAAGCUCCACCUCCUGGGUUCACGCCAUUCUCCUGCCUCAGCCUCCCGCAUAGCUGGGACUACAGGCUCCUGCCACCAGACCCGGCUAAUUUUUUGUAUAUUAAGUAGAGACGGGGUUUCACCGUGUUAGCCAGGAUGGUCUCGAUCUCCUGACCUUGUGAUCCGCCCGCCUCAGCCUCCCAAAGUGCUGGGAUUACAGGCGUGAGCCACUGCGCCUGGCUGGAAGAUUUUUCAUUAAUAAUUCAAUACUGUUAAUAGUUUUGUGUGUGUGGUUUUGUUUUGGUGGUCUUUAGUUUCCUAGGUUUGUAGGAAUUUGUACAUUUCAUCUAGAUUAUCUAAUUUGUUAACAUUCACUUGCUUAUAGUAAGUACUCUUAAAAUCUCUUAGUUCUGUAGACUUUAUGUUUCUGAUGGUAGCAAUUUGAGUCUGCCCUCUUUUUUUCUAGUCCACUUAGCUGAAGGUUUGUCAGUUUUCUUGAUUUUUGUUUAUGAAGAACCAAGUGGUUAUUUUGUGUUCAUUUUCUGUUGUAUUCAUCUCUGUAUCAUUCUUUAUGUCCUUCCUUUUCCUCUUUGUGUUUACUUUGCUUGUGUAGUUCUUUAAUUUGUACAGUUGGUUGAUUUGAAAUUUUUUUUCAUGUUACAUUUAUAGGUGUAAGAUUCAUAAGAAAGCAUGCUUUAUUUUCAUUUUCAUUCAUUCCCACAUAUUUUCUAAUUUUCUUUAUAACCUCUUGGUGUACUAGUUGUUUGUGUUUUCUCAUGUCCACAAAUGUGUGACUUUUCCAAGGCUUUCCUUCUGUUACUGAUUUCUAAAUUCAUUGUCUUGCUGUGGUCAGAGAAGAGGCUUUUUCUGUCUGUUUUUUCAAAAUUUAUUGAGACUGAGUUUGUGAAUUAACUACAUUUUUUGUGAAAAAUAUUUCAUGCACUUGAAGGGGAGUGUGCAUUUUGUUGUUCAGAGAUUGUUGUGUGCAUAUCUGUUAGAUAUAAUUGAUUUAUUGUGAUGUUGCACACUUCUGUUUUCUCUUUUUUUUUUGUGGGGUGGGGGAUGAGACAGAGUCUGGCUCUAUCCCCCAGGCUGGAGUGCAGUGGCGUGAUCUCAGCUCACUGCAACCUCUGCCUCCCAGGUUCAAGUGAUUCUCCUGCCUCAGCCUCCCAAGUGGCUGGGAUUACAGGCGCCUGCCACCACACCCAGUUAAUUUUUGUAUUUUUAGUAGAGACAGGGUUUUGCCGUGUUGGCCAGGCUGGUCUCAAACUCCUGACUUUGUGAUCCACCUGCCUCGGCCUUCCAAAGUGCUGGGAUUACAGGCGUGAGCCACCACACCUGGCCCACAUCUCUAUUUUCUUACUUGUUUUCUGGUUAUUCUACCCAUCAUUGAGAGUAGGUUCUUGAAGUCUACAUUUCUUAGUGAGGAAAUGUCUAUUUCUCCCUUCUUUUAUGUCAGUUUUUGUUUCAUAUAUUUUGAUGGUUUAUUAGGAUCAUAAAUAUUGCUCAUCUUUAUCUUGUAAUUUUUAUUAAUGUAUAAUGUACAUUUUUGUUUGUAACAUUUUGGAUUGAAAGUCUGUUUUGUCUGACUUUAGCAGUCUAAAAAUAACUGCUUCUGUAACACCUUCACUCCUACCCCUUUCAGUUGAUUACAAAAUUAUAUGUUUAACAUAUUGUGUAUAAAUAUAUAUAUAUAUAUAUAUAUAUAUAUAUUUGAGAUGGAGUCCUCUCUGUCACCCAGGCUGGAGUACAGUGGUGUUAUCUCGGCUCACUGCAAGAUCCGCCUCCAGGGUUCACGCCAUUCUCCUGCCUCAGCCUCCCGAGUAGCUGGGACUACAGGUGCCCACCACCACGCCUGGCUAAUUUUUUUGUAUUUUUAGUAGAGACAGGGUUUCACCUUUUUAGCCAGGAUGGUCUCGAUAUCCUGACCUCGUGAUCCGCCCACCUCGGCCUCCCAAAGUGCUGGGAUUACAGGCUUGAGCCACCACACCUGGCCCAAAAUAUAUUUUUUAAAAUUUAUUUUUUGUUAAAUUUUUUAGAAGAUAACUUGUAGAGUUAUAAUCAAAGUUCUACAAUAAUAUUUACUGGUUUCUUGCCUAAUGUGUGGUUUUAUAAUUGAUCAAUUUCAAGUCAUGUAGAAUCUAAAAAAGGCAACAGGCUGGGCAUAGUAGCUCACGCCUGUAAUACCCAGCACUUUGGGAGGCUAAGGAAGGAGAAUUGCUGGUUUGAGACCAGCCUGUGCAACAUAGCAAGAGGCUGUCUCUACAAAACAAAUUUUAACAACAAAAAAUAGCUGGGUAUGGUGGCAUAUUCCUGUAGUCCCAGAUACUCAGGAAGAUGAGAUGCAAGGGUCUCUUGUUCCCUGAAGGUUGAGGCUACAGUGAGCCAUGAUGAUGCCACUGCAUUUUAGCCUGUGCAACAGAAUCAGAGCCUGUUUCGUAAUGAAAAACAAGUGGAGGGACAGUACACCAUUAUUAACCUCUCAUAAUUGCUCAACUAUUUACCUUUAACCACAUCUUUAUUUCUUUAUAGGGCUUCCAUUUACUGUUUAUUUCAACCUUCAGGAGUCUUUUCAGUGUUUCUGUUUGGUGGGGGAGUAGAUGUAAUGUAAACAAACUCCUGUUGUUUGUACAUCUGGGAACGUAUCAAUUUCUCCCUUACUUUUUAAUUAACAGUUUUGUUGGAUAUUAGAUUCUUAGUUGAGUAUUUUUUUUUUUUUUUUAGCACAUUGAAUGUGUCAGUCCACUACCUUCUGGCCUUACGAGAAAUUAACUGAUAAUCCCUGUUAUAUCAUUUUUCUAUUGUUGCUUUCAGAAUUCUUUCUCUUUUGCUCUUCAUAGUUGAAAGAUAAUGUGUCGCAUUGUGGGUCUUUUGAGUUCAUCUUGCUUGGAGUUUGUUGAGGUUCUUAGAUGUUAGUAUUCAUGUCUUUCAUCAAAUUUGAGAAGUUUCCAUCUAGAAUUUCUUCAGAUAUUCUUUCUAUUGCAUGCUUUCUCUUUUUUGGGAAUCCUGCACUGUUUGUAUUGGUUAGCUUGGGUGGGGGACCGGAAUCUGUUUAGACUCUUACCUUUCUUCAAUAUUUUUUCUUUUUGUUCCUCAGAAUUGAUAAAAUUCUGAAGUUUGCUGAUCUUUUUUUGUUGCCUGCCGAGAUAAUGCGUUUGAAUCCCUCUAGAAAAUUUUUCAUUUCAGUUAAUUGAAUGUUUCAUGUUCCAGAAUUUCAUUUGGGGUUCCUUUUUGAAAUUUUUUUUAUUUUUGAUAAUUGAUCCUUCCAUUUUGCUCAUGCAUCAUUUUCUUAACCUUCUCCAUCACUUCCUUUAGUUCUUUGAGCAACUUUAAGACAGUUGUUUUAAAAGCUGCUUACCUGUCUUACCAUCUUUGAGAUUAGAAGUGGUAAACUGAUGAGAGCACAGCCUCUCAAUGUUUGUAUAACAGAGUGGUGUGUUUUGUUUUUUGUUUAUGCCUACCCUCACUCCUUCUGCAAGCUGUAUGUAAGUUGUCCCAGAAAUGUGUACAGCUACCUUGCGUGAGGCUGUAGGAGUUAGGGAUAAGUAAUUUGUACUUUGCUAAGAGUUGAUGUUGAGUGAAAUUAACCUCAAAAAACCUGAAUUUAGAGGUUAAUACAAUCCUCCAGAGUUCCAAACCAGUUAUAUCAUACCGAUUAUUCUGGUGUAUUUAUUAUCUCAGGGGAGAAAGAGUUCUGGUGCAUCCUGCUCUGCCAUACUCCCAGAAUCCUCAGCUCACCAGUUUUUUAGUUUGUUUUGUUUUGUUUUGUUUUUGUUUGGAUACAAUUUCUCAUUCUGUCUCCCAGGCUGUAGUGCAGUGGCACUAUCAUAGCUCACUGCAGCCUCCACUUUUUGGGCCCAAGGGACCCUCUUGCCUCAGCCUUCUGAGUAGCUGGGACUAUGGACAUGCCUGAAUAAUCUCUUUUUUAAAGAGAUGGGGUCUUACUACAUUGCAUAGCCUCAUCUUGGACUCCUGGACUCAAGCAAUCCCCCAGUGUCAGCCUCACAACGUCCUGGGAUUCUAUGCGUGAGUCACUGUGCCCAGCUUGUUUUACAGUAGUGAAAUGAAUCUGCCAAUUUAUACUUUCUGAUUAUCAAUUAAAGUUGUGUUCUAUAAUUUUGUUACUUUUCGGUUGUGAUAGUUUAUGCAUCACAUAAAAUUUGCCAUAUUAACCAGAUUUAAUUGUAGUACUCAUUAGCAUUAAAUGCACUCACAGUGUUGUGUAACUAUCACCAUUUUCAAAACUUUUGUCAUCUUAAUUGGAAACUCUAUACCUGUUACUCUAAUCCCUAGUCCCUUGUCUCCCCAAUCAUGUUUUCUGCAUUUGAUUUUGCCUGUUGUAGGUAUUUCUUACAAGUUGAAUCACAUAGUAUGUGUUUUUUGGUUCCUGGCCUAUUUCACCUAAUGCUUUCAAGUUUCAUGUAAUACAUGAGAACUUCAUUUCUUAUUAUGACUGAGUAAAUCCAUUUUGUGUAUGUAUCCGUGUGUGUAUAUAUGUGUAUAUAUGAGUGUGUGUGUGUGUACACAUAUAACACCACAUUUUUUAUCCAUCUGCUAAUGGAUAGAAUUUUAAAUCUAUUCCUCUGCUAAUGGACAUUUUGUAUGCCAGUGCUCACCAAAACAUUCACAGUGUCCAUUAAGAGAUGAAUACAUUUAAAAAUAUGUCCAUUAAUAUUUGAGUGAGCAUUGGCAUACAAAUAUCUGAGUUCAUGUCUUCGUAUCUGAUUAUGUUUAUAGGGGAUUGAAAUUGCUGAGUUAUUUGGUAAUUUAAUGAACUCACUUUUUGAGGAAAUAUUUGUUAUUAUGAGAAAUUGAAGUCACCAAAAAUGAGAACUGAAUGAUGAACCUUCUGAUAUCUAGCAACUAGAGUUAAUAACUAUCAACAUUUUGCCAUAUUUUGAAAGUUACAGUUACCAUGGUGAUUUAAUCCUGAAUAGGUUUAUAUUUUUAUGUAUCCAUUUUUAAAAUAAUCGCAAUAUCCUAUCUCUACCUAGUAAAAUUUACUAAAAUCCCUAUGUGUCUUCUAAACACACAAAGAAAACAAUCCUCAUUUAAAUUUCUCAAGGUUGUGCAUGCUGUCUCAAGCCUGCAAUCAUAGCAUUUUUGGAGGCCAAGGCAUUUUGCUUGAGCCCAGGAGUUCCAGAUGAGCAUAGGCAAAUAGUGAAACUUGUCUUCACAGAAAAAAAAAAAAUUAGGUAUGGUGGCAUGCACUUGUGAACCCAAUUAUUUCAGAAGCUGAAGCAGGAGGAUCACUUAAGCAGUGGGCUACAAUCACAACACUGAACUCCAGGCUGGGUAACAGAGUGAAACAUUGGCUCAAAAAAAAAAAAAAAUUCUCAGUUGUGCGAAUGAUAACAACAGUUUUUUGAGCAAAUCUGUAUCCAAGUGAGUAAUUCACUUUUAUCUAGGCUAUUUUUAUGUUAGUCUUGACUGUAUUAAUUUAUUUUCAAUCUUAAAUCUCUCUUAAUUAAGGUAGAAAGUCGACCCUUUUUUGGUUCUAUAUUUAAGUAAUUAAAAAAAAAUCUUGAACUAAAAAAAUUAUUUAGAAGUAACUUUCAUAUUCUACUGAAUUUCUUAUUUGCUGGUUUUUUGGGGGGGAUUGAUUCUACCCUUUAUUUUUAGUAUUCUGAAUGAAUUUUGGUGAGCUCCUGUGGUCCAAAAUAUAUAUUGUGUAUACACCAUACAUAAUCUGAAUUCUUGUAUAACAAAGUACAGUCCAUAUUUGUAAGGGGUGCUUGGAAAGGUAUAUUAGGUAUAUUACCUUACAUGUGUAGAUCUUCGUAAGUAAUAGUUGGCAAGGUCUGCUAUAAACUUGUUACAUAUUUCUAUAUUUGUCAUUAUAAUUAGAGACCUUUUUAGUCUUUGAUGUUAUUUUUCCCAUUAAUUUGAUGUCCUGACCUGGUCAUGCUUUCAGUUUUUCAUGAGAUCACGCUAAUGAAAUUUCUUAAAAGUUUUGCAAAUAUAAUCUGAUAACGUACUUUGAUUUUUUGAAAAAAAGCCAUCUCUUACCCAGUAAAUAUCAACUAAUUGCUGGUUUUCUUUUGUAAUUUCUUCUCAAUGUAUUUUAUAUUAAGGUUUGGAGAUACCAAUCCUUUUAAGCAUAAUCCUCAUGCUAUCUGGUAAAAAUUAUUAACAAUUAAAAAUUACUUAAUGUAUAUUACAAAGGAGAUAGUACCAUCUAUCAAAUAUUUUUGAUAAAUCUUAUUCCACUCUGUCUUAUGUAUGUUUAAAUGAGCACCAGAAGAAUUAUGCAUUACAUUUCAUUUGAUUGGUUAAUCUUUGAGUUCUUGGUUUUUAAUAUUUGUUUCUUGCUGUUUUCUCUUUGAGGAAAUGAAUUAUUUGCCAUAUAAAACUUUUACAUUUCUACAUUGUACCCAUGGUAGGAUGCCACCCCUGUGGUCAUGUUUAAUAGUUUUUUCUCAGUGUUUCAGUGUUUAAUAUUUUCUAUCAUUUUUUUCAAAAAAUAUUAAACAUUGAGAUGAAAGGGAAGGUUAUCAGAGUAUCCUAUUAUAGUGAUUAUAGUGCUCAGAUUCUAGCUCCAUACCUGUUAGAACACAUUCCCAAUUGUCAACUUAAACUAUAUUUGUAUGUAUUGUUUGUCUGCUUGUAUUAAAGGCAAAAGCUCAUUAUCAAUUAGUUGUAUGUUUUAAAGAGUUGACCACAACAUCCAUCAUAAGACCUAUCUAAAGAGGAAUACAUGAUGUCUUAGUACAAAGGAGUAGAGAUACAAUGAAUGUAUUUAUUUUCAUGUUUCUUAAGAGGGAAUGCACUAGCAAUUGACGGUAAAAUAGAUACAAAUCAAGUAAAGAAACCAGUAUAUUUUUAGUCAUUAUGUCACUUUGAAAAACAAUUUGUUUAAUCAUUUUGCGAUAACUGGUUGCUUGGAACUGCCUUAUUUUUUGUAUUCAGUAUAUUUAUUUAUGGGAGUGUAUACAUAUUCCAGGGUGUUCUAGUUCCUCAGGGAAAAUCUGGAUGGUAUUGAAGAGUUUUGUUCUUUAUUAUGAGUCAAUUUAUAAUUUCAUCUUUUUUUUUUUAAAAAAAAGGCAUUUUUCCUACAGCUAGACAUUUUGAUUGUCACUUUUGUUGUGAGAAAAAAAAUUACGAAGACGUAAAGAUUGGGAAUGAGGAAGGUGACUUGAUCGGGUAUCACAGACUUACAAAAUCUUGAGUUAUGUUAAUGGCAUAUUUAUAAGGAAAGUAAUGUCAUCGAAUAGAACACCUUUAUAGCUGAGGUGGUACCAGUUUAAGAAGUGAGAACUUCUUCACUGACUGAAAUUUGCAUAUCAAUCCAAAUCAUUGUGCUUGUUUACUAUUUUUGUAGACGUCAUUCUUCAAAAGUGCUGCAUCUUUCGUAGUCAAGGAGGACAAAGACAUCUUUCCUGCAGGUGGUGACCAUGUGGAUAAUAGGAUUAUAGACAAAUGGUGGUUCCAUCUACAGUGUCACCAAAAUGCUGUUGUUAUUGCUUCUUUCUGGGAUCUUCUUGCAUCUUUGCUUCUCAAGGGGCACAACUUUUAUAGAAGUAUGUCCAGGAAUAGAAGUGACCUGCUUUUUCGCAAGCUUGGCAACUAGUUCAUUGAAACAGAGCCAACAAGAAUGAGUGAGUCACUCGGUGAUAUGAAGCAAGCUGUGGUCAUUUAUCUACUAUCUUCCAUUCCUACUUCCUAGGUUUGAUAAGUAGUAUUUGUAGUAUAGUUGUCAGUAACUUUUCUCAGCUUACAUAAGUUUAUGUGGAAUUCAUUUACAAAUGUGUGAUUAUUACGAUAGAUGUUAUUUUAUAAAUUUCAAGGUUCUUUAAUAUAGCAUGGACAUGUUUCUAAAUCAAUAAAUAUAGCUUACCCACAGACUUUUUAUGGGGUGUAAAGUGUGUGUUACAAUGGGUGAAUCCAUUUCUCUGUUUUGGGAAAGCAGGUUAAUGUUUUGUUUGUUUUGUUGCUACAUAUAAUGUUGCACUAUGUAUAUAUUCUAAUGCAGUUGGUCUCCUAAUUCUACAGGAUAGAUGUCUAGCUGUGGCAUUGUUGGAUCAUCAGUUUCGUUUCAGUUAGAUGCUGUGAAAUUGUUCUUGAAAAUGGUGUCCUCUGCCACCACAGAACGGUGUUGUAAUGGAAGUGCCAAUUUUCAUAAAAACUUGUGUGCAACAGGUAUUAAGAAUUUUUGAGGUCAGGCGCAGUAGCUCACGCCUGUAAUCUCAGCACUUUGGGAGGCCUAGACGGGUGGAUCACCUGAGGUCAGGAGUUCCAGACCAGCCUGACCAACAUGGUGAAAUCCCAUCUCCACUAAAUGCAAAAAAUGAGCAGCUGGGUGUGGUGGCAUACACCUGUAAUCCCAGCUACUUGGGAGGCUAAGACAGGAGAAUCGCUUGAGCCAAGAUUGCACCGCUACACUCCAGCCUGGGUGAUGAGCGAAACUCCAUCUCAAAAAAAAAAAACAAAAAGCUUUAAAUUUUUAGCCAAUCUAAUAGGUGAAAAUGGCAUUUUUAACAUAAGUCUAACUUGAACAAUUAAUGGCCAUGGCUAAAAGAAGAAUCAAAUAAUGAUGUGUGGUUUAUAAGGAAGCAGUACCCCAGUUUUCCUCUGCUCCCCCCAAAAAUCCCAUUUAUCUGAGCAAGAAAUCAUUAAUAUUUUCUAAAUCUGCUUGGAAGUUCAUAAACUCCCUAAGUCUACCUUAUACCAGUGUUUUUCUGACUUUGUAUUUUUGAAAUAAUUUUAGAUUCAGAAUCGCAGGAUUCACACAGAGCAACCUGAUUUACAGUUCACCUAGACUGACUUUUUAUUCUGCAUCGUUGUGUUCUCCCGCCACUUCCUCUUCUUGCUGUCGCCUCCCUUCAUGUGUUUAUACAUACGAUUAUCAUUUUAUGUGCUAUUUGUGAAUGAUUUGCCGACAUUAUCUUCCUGUAACCCAAAACACUUCAACAUCUACUUUCUAAGAGCCUAAGCAUCUUACACUGACUUCGGUAAAAAUUUCAAAAUCAUGAAAUGUGUCAAUAGUAUAAAAGUAUAACAGUAUACAGUCCAUAUUCACAUUUUACCCAUUUUUCCAGAGGUAUUCUUUAUAGCAGUUUCUUCCCUUCUACAACAUCCAGAAAAGGAUCUUCUAUUGCAUUCAGUUAUCAUGUCUCUUUAGUCUUGUUUAAUCUGAAACGGUUUCCUGGACUUUGAUCACAUCAGUAUUCUUAAAAAGUAAUAGCUAACAGAUUUAAGGAGAUACCUCAGAUUUUGAAUUUUGUGUUUCUUCAUGAAAGGGUUUAAGAUACUCAUUUUGAGCAGAAAUAAUUCAGUAUUCUCAGUCUUCCUUAGUGAAUCAUCUCAGGUGACAAAUAAUGUCACUUUGUCUCACUUUGAAUUACUUUGAUCUCUUGGUUCAAUUGGUGUCCACUGGACUUUUCCACUAUAGUUAACAUUCCUUCAUAAUUAAUUUGGAACUAUACAGGUAUUCUAUUUUUCAUCAAACUGUCACUUAGUAGGUUUAAUAUGCACAGGUGACUUUUACCUGAAUCAGUGUUGAUUAGAAAAAAAUCUGUGUUAUUGCUUAGAUGCAUUAUUUAGUGUCUUGUACUGUAAGGAAGAGUUUGUAUAUCAUGGCCUGUCAGAACAGUCCCGCAAUGUGUUUUAUCAACUGAAAAUUCUGAAAGAAAGAAUAAGGUGGUGAUUUAUAUGAGAAUACAGGGAAAGGGUUACCCAAAGAGUCUAAUGAAUUUAUGUCUAAACCAUAGAGUGGAAUAUGAGAGACACACAGAACUCCAGAGUUGUGAUGCAAAUACACUGCACAGUGGAAGGAGAAGAGGAAGUUUUUGGUAAUAGUGUUUCGUCUAAUGUAGCUGUGUAAUGUAUGUGUGCCUUCAUUAUUGGGAGAGUGUUCAGCAGUUCACAUUUGAAUAGACUGUGAAGCAUGAUGCUGGAAUCUGGGUUCAGAUUCUAGAUCUGUAUCCUACAUAUCACCAAUGUUUAUUUCUCAGUUUUUGUUUGUCGUUACUUUAACUCUCUUUAAUGCAUUAGAGUAUCCAAGGUUGACAGUGAAGGGACUGCCUUUGGAAGCUAUAUGAAGACAAAAACUCAGCUUUUUGAAGUUUCUUUCAUAUGUCACCUUACAUGGCCUCUCCCAUUCUCUGUGGAGAAGUUUGUGUAGAUUAUUCAGACUACCGUGCAGUGGCUGUCUUGUUUAAAACCUACACAUAUCCAAACUCUGUUUUGUGUUCUCUGUAACUAGGGCAUUAGUCUCCCAAUAGUAAUCCUGCAUCUUAUGCUAGUUAAAGAAGGUUCCCAGAAUAAAGACAUUCUUACUUUUGAACAAUGACUUGGAUAGAUUGAGGAAGUGGUUUUAAUAAUCACUUUGAUAUAUUUCAAAAUCUGGUUCAUUAUUGGUGAGGUGCAGGCCACCUGGUAUUAAUGAAAAUGUAUAAUUAGGAACCAGUGCAGUGGAAUCAGAGGCUUGAACAUGACCUAAGGCUUGGUCAAAGUGGUGAUCUGAAUGUUCCCUGCUCUCUGUAUAUAACUUUGUACUUAGUCUUCAGUGGCAGGGUUGCAGCAGAGGCCCAGUAAAUAUUGUUCAUUCAAUGUAUGAAGGAGAAAAUGGAAGUAAGGCCAAAAAUUACUGAUUGUAAACAAAUGAAGCACCAAGUGAAUAAAUGUACAAAUAGACAAAUAGACAAAUAGCCAGUAGGAAAAAAAAACAAAACUUGUUACCUAAAGAAUGAAAACCAAGUGGAAAAGGCCGCCAGGGACAUUUUAAUAUGCAUAUUGUUGCUUUCACAUAUAACACAGUAAGGGAGUAUCAGAAAACCUGAAUCUGCCUGAGUAAAACAUACCCCGUUCCACAAAGCUGUAUAUAUGAGAGUAUUGAAGGUGGUUUAAUACCAAAUUCAAAAAUUCAGCCUCAGUGUAGCAAACUUUUAAAUUUUCCAUGAUAUAAAGUAAUUUUUAACAAACAAUGGAAGUCACAGCACUAAAGUACAUUACUAUUAUAUGAUUCUCUGAUGGUAAUAGAAACUGUGCUGCAGGACACGUUUUGAUUCAGGAAGAAAUGUAGAGUAACUCCACAGAGGAAUUCAUCCUCUCUAAGUUUAAAUCUGAAUGGAACCCAUAUGCCCAUACCCUGAAGAUGCAUGUAAGGGAACAACAUGGCUUGGUCUGUUGAAAAAAGAAAAGAACCUUCAAUUAAGCAUCCUGUGAACUUGAUAAGAGGAUGCAGAGGAAAGUAAAUGCGCUCUGCAUAUCUGUGGUUGACCUUGGAACACAGUGAAUGCCCUCUAAAGAAUAGCCCAGUAAGUACUGUAUCAUUCCACCAAUCAAAUUAGAGCCUCUUCCAGUGGGAGCAGAGUGACAUAGACCAAGGAAAGCCAAGGAGAAGAUUGUGGCCUUUUAUUUCUCCUUAUAUUUGUUGAGGUUCACUGCUGACUGAUAAACGAUUUGCACAAAAAAAUUCAGGCCUCUGACUCUUCUGGUAUUUGAUUUAUCUAGUAAAGUUAAUUCCAAGACAAAAGUACAGUUGGUUAAAAAUACCAGUCUCGUGUUUAUUUGAUGGUUUGAAAUAUUCUCUGUUACAUUGUUGUACCUCUUUUGUCACCUUGGAAUAUAUGACAAUCAUGUUAUCUUGAUUUUUUCCACAAGAUAAUUUGAUUCUAAAAUUGAUUCAUUAUUUAUCUUCAGGAAUUAGAGAUUUUAAAAAUGUCAUCUCUCAUGUCUCAUUCAGUCAUUUCCAAGAUUUAGUGAGUGUUCUCCCUAAUGCCUUGAACAAGAAUGCCUUGUUCAACGGCUGUAUUUUACUCAUAAUUAACAUUCCAACUGCUUUGGGUUUUUUUAGAUUUACAAUUUUUAUUUCUGCAGUACUUAACUUUCUAUAUUUUAUAUAUAUUAAAACAAGUUAGGAUAAAGAUCACUGUGGAUGAUAUAAAUACUAAUAGCAAAAGUAGAAAUAAGUUGUAUUAUAUAAGUUGUACAUAGGUGUUACAUUAGGUUGUCUUACAUGAAAGUAUUAAUGAAGUACUGGGAUUUGGGGUGUAUUUUGAAAUCCUUGCCAGUUCUACUUGAUAAAGUAUUGAAUGGUACCAUAUGAGAGGAGAAGAGGACGGAAAGAGGACUUAUGAUUUAGACCUCAACAACUGCUAGGGAGGGUUGGUUUUCUCUGAGUGCAUGAUUUUUAAAAAAAAUGCUAUUUUGCCAGUUUUAGAUCCAUAUUAAAUCCACAGAUUAAGGUUUUGGUUUUUAAAGUGUAAAUAGGAAGCUUGAGCUGGGGGGGAGUUUGGAGAUAGAGAUAAUACUUAAUCGCUGUGGGAAAGGAUGAGAUCUAGAGAUAGAGUGUAUGUGGGAGUAGGAACAUAUGUGUCUGAGACCAUGCUUUGGAUGCUCUAGCAUUUAGAUGUUGAGAAAAUGAGGAAGACCCAUUAAAGGAGAUUGUGGCUAGAGUUACUGGUGAAAACCAAAGGGUUGUAGUGUUCCUGAAGUUACAUGAAGAGUGAGAUUAAAAAUUAAUGAGGCAGCAGUGGCUUUUGCAUGGCAUUGAACAAGAAUGCCUUGUUCAACGGCUGUAUUUUACUCAUAAUUAACAUUCCAACUGCUGGGUUCAAUUUGAAAAUUGAGUAUCAUUGAUCGUAGUGCUCUUAUUAUUGAAAAAGCCAAAUCAAAGAAUACCUUUAUGUUGAUGGUCUGUACUAUAAUUAGGUUACCAUUGUUAGCCCAGCAUAGACACAUGCUGAUACCUGUGAGUUGCUUUCAUCAAUUAGUAUGUGAAGAUGCAUCCCAGUUGUGCAAUUUUAGAUCCUCUUCAUCAUUCCACAUUAUAUGUAUACAAGAUAAAACUUGAUGUUUUCAUUACAUCCUUUCAAUCUUCUAACAGCAAUCCUUAUGUAGCUUUAUCAUUGGAGUUUCCACUUUCAGUGUCUCUAUCUGUACCUGCAUUCAUUGGCCACAGUAGAGUUUUCAUUAAGGCAGGAUUGCAUUUCAUUGAUUUUGGCUGUGUCAGACAUUUAACAAAGAUUGUUGAGGAAAGGAAUGGAUGGAAGGGGCCAGCUGAAAUAAAAAGUAACAACCUAAUGAUGGAUAAGUGAAAAAGGAAUGAAGAAAGGAGGGUGCUAGGAAUCGAGGGAGUAAAGCAAGACAGAAUGUACAAAAGGUCGAAUUUUUAAAGAAAGUUGUAGGGCAAGGGCAAGGUGUGUUAAACCUACAUUUAAAAUACAAUAACAUCACUAAAGUCGAGGCCAGGUGCAGUGGCUCACCCCUGUAAUCCCAGCACUUUGGGAGGCCAAGGUGGGCAGAUCACCUGAGGUCAGAAGUUUGAGACCAUCCUGGCCAACAUGGUAAAACCCCAUCUCUACUAAAAAUACAAAAAUUAGUUGGGCGUGUUGGCAGGCGCUUGUAAUCCCAGUUACUUGGGAGGCUGAGGCAGGAGAAUCGCUUGAACCUGGGAGGCAGAGGCUGCAGUGAGCCGAGAUCAUGUCACUGCACUCCAGCCUGGGCGACAAGAACGAAACUCCGUCUCAAAAAAAAAAAAAACCAAAAAAAAAAACCUAUCACUAAAGUCAGGCAGAAAGUACCAUUGUGGAAGAUGUUCUUUUCCAGCUUAACCUGAAGAAGGUAUUGACCAUACGGUCAAUUGUACAGUCAUUGUACAUUGUCAUUCCCUAACUAAUGGGUUAGAUAUGAGUCUGUAGAAAAUUUUUUGUCCAACAUACUUUAUGCCUCUUAACAUUUCACUUACCAAAUUUCAUUUCAUUCCUUCAUUUUGUGUCCAUCAGACUAGAAAUAAUGAGCUCCUAUUGACAGGGAUAUUUUCCUCUUCAUGCUUUCGUUUACCUUACAGAGCCUUUUAUGUAGCAGAUAUUUAAUUUCAUAAUGGGUCUAAACUACUUGUUUAGACCAUGGAUGAGUGAAAUUUUGAUGAAUGAGCCCCAAUCACCUGAAGGGUGAGUAAAAGAAGAAUUUCUAGAGACCCAAUAUGAGGUAGCUGCUUCACACUUUUUUGAGAAUGUUAUGGCAUGACUGAGGAAAUCAUAGAUUUUGUAGACCAUGUUGAGUUGGAUUGUGUAAAUACAGAUUCUGGUAUUAGGGAACUCAGCAUCUGCUAGAUUAGACUUUUUAUGGUGAAAGUCUGUUUUUAGGGAUUAGGCAUAAAUCCCCAUUGAUAUUUGUGCAGUAAUAGAAUAUAGCUCCUGUUUUCUUUCCUGCUUGCAUAGCCUGUGCCAUUAGUGUCCUCUUUCUCAUUGUUUUCUCAAAGGAAAACAGUCAAAGAGGAAGCCAUACGCAUGGUAGACUUUGUAAUCUGGGAAAAGUCAACAUAUUUCAUAGUAGUGUACUUAUUAUGUGUUGUCAGUCCUUAGAAAGGAUUCAUUUUCUCCAUAUUAUAUACUAUAUUUUAAAAAUUUCUUGGGGGAGAAUGGCUGUAGACAGGCCAAUGAUGGAAUCGUAGAAUAUAGUCACUGUCUAAUUACUUUCAAUCAAGACAGGGAACAAUAAAGUACAAUGUAUGUAGCUGACUUCAGUGUGACCACUCAGUAUUUCUGUAACACAGUAUUUAUAUUGCUGUACAGUAGAGUUAUAUUCAUUUCUGUGAUCCAGUUCAUUUGUUUAAUAUUGGGAUUCAAGGAGUGUUGAAGAAAUUCUACUGAUUAAUAACAGAUGGGAAGAGUGUAUGUGUUUUAAAUAAGAGACCAAGAGAGACAAUAAGGAAAAUAGGAAGGAAGUGUUUGUGAGCCUUUCACAUUACUCUUACAUUCGGGAAGUCCACAAGACACCGUAGUGGAGAUUCUGAGGAGGUGAAAACCUGUAGAAAAAUGCUUUAUCAGUAAGGAGCUGACUAAGUUGUCAGAAAGUGUUGAUUUCUAGAAGGAUAUUGAGACAUUAGGUAUAUAGGGUAUAUGACUCCUUGUCUUCCUUUCAUUCUGGCUUCUUACAAGCUGUUGUGAAUAAGUUUAAGAUUUCUUCUGACAUUAUAAACUUUAGAAAAGGUAUGGCUGUUUGUUCAGUUUGAAGUAGUAUCAUAUCCGCCAAAGCCUUGUUAAAUUGUCUUGUUGAUUCAUGGUUCUCUUCAGUGAUAAUAUUAUAUGGGAUUCCUACCCACAGCCACCCAAUAUCUCAGUGGAGAAAUGCAGGUUUGGAGAGAACAUCUGAAUAGAUUCACGCUAAGAUGGUACAUUUGCGCUGAGACCGUUGUUAUGUGGCAGGCAGACAUGAAGUAUCCUAGGAUUGAUCAAUAUGCCUUAAUGUAAAUAGCUGCAUAUAGACCUGAUUUCUUAGACUCCCCACUUCAAGCUCUUGAAUAUUGUGUUGAUAUCCUUAUCAAUACACUUUGUCUUGUGUUCUGUGUUGAUUUUCCAAAGUAAAUACAACGAGCUCCUACUUGACAGGGAUUUUUUCUUUCUAUUGACUUAGAUAAAAUGUCAAGAUAAAAAUGUAUGAGUUUCAUUAAAGUUUGUUGAAUAAAAUUGGUGAUGGAAUGAGUGAGAGCGAGGUCAUGAAUGAGAGAGAAUAUAGAAAUAAUGGAGAAUGUGAUAUUCUGAUAGUCAUGCAAUAUUCUUUUUGAUAUAAUAUGUAACAUAUAUUACUAUGUUAUAUUCUACAUAUUUGUCAUAUAUAUUACUAUAUCCUGUUGCUAUAUUUGGAUAAUUUGGGAAUCCGCCACGUUUGAUGAUGUUGAAAAGAGAACAUAAAAUGUAGUGAUUUCUUAAUAAGGUGUAGAGGUGUAGGUAUUAACUCUUUAAGAAUAUAGUGAUUUAUUUUAAAAUAAUGAUAGGAAAGGACCAUAAAAAUGUCUGAAUUUGGGAAAUUAGAAAAGGUUUUCUCUCUGGGGCUUUCAUAUGUCUGUUCUAUGUGAAUGUUGUAUAAUUCUCGCUUUGCCACAGCUCCCUCUUUGCUAACCCUUCUUAACCCCUGCAGAGAAGGAAGUGGACUGAUGGUAUUUUAAGUCCAUCUUCAGGUUUAUUGGGAAUGCAAGGGAAAUGAGUUGUUACCAAUGGGAGUAAAGGGCUAGUUGCUAUGCCAGUUGCUACUACUUUUGUUUGACACUGCUUGAGCAAUCUGAAUGGCUAGUUUUGAAUCUGGCUUCUCAGUCAGAAUUUUACCUUCACUCUAACAUUGCUUUUUUUCAAAUCACUUAUAUUUACAUAAAUAUGAACCAACUUCAGUGAUCUUAAUUCUUUCCCGAAGAUCCAAGUUUCUUUCCAUCUGCCUGAAGAACUUUCUUUAGCACUUCUGGUAUAGCAGGCCUACUAAUGAUAAUUUUUCUUUUAGUAUACGGUGAUUAGUUUACUUUUUAUUCAACUGUGUCUUUUUUUGAAGUCUUCUUCAUUGAAAUAUAUUGUUACUAAACAUAGAAUUAAUGGUUUUUUUUCAGCACUUCAAAGAUAAUCCACUGUUUUUUGGACUCCGUUGAUACUUAAAUCUCUAUUUUUGUGUAAUUCUUUCUCUUUAUGUAAAUGUGCCAUUUUUCAUUUUUCUCUGACUCCUACUAAAAUAUUUUUACUUAAGUAUUGAGUCAGUUUUGGUUAUGAUGUGACUCAGUGUGUUUUUAUUUAUAUUGUUUGGUUGUUUGAACUUCUUGAAUCUGUAAAUGUUGUGCUUUAUGUUAAAUUUGGGGGGAUUUCAGCCAUUUAAAAUACAACUUUUCAGUCUCUUCCCCCUGGGACUCCAAUUUUCACAUAUAUAUUUGUAUUAGACCUAUUAAUAUUGUUCUAUGCAUAGCUGACAUUCUUUUUAAAUCUUAUUUUUGGUGUUUUUCACUUUGAACAACCUAAUAAUUUGUUUCCAUCCAUGUUCACUCACUGUUUAUUCUGUUUUUUUCCCAAUCUGCUCUUAAGCCUAUCCUGUGAAUUUUCUUUUUAAUUUAUUUUAUUUUUUAGUUCCAGAUAAUUUCUUUUUUUUAAAAAUGUUAUUAUACUUUAAGUUUUAGGGUACAUGUGCACAAUGUGCAGGUUUGUUACAUAUGUACACAUGUGCCAUGUUGGUGUGUAGUUCCAGAUACUUUCUGCUUUUUGUUUUGUUUUUGAGACAGAAUCUUUCUCUGUCACACAGGGUGGAGUACAGUGUCAUGGUUCACCGCAGCCUUGACCUCCUGGUCUCAAGUGAUCCUCUCACCUUAACCUACCCACUCCUAAGUAGCUAGAACUACAGGUGCAUGCCACCACGCUCAGCUAAUUUUUUAUUUUUGUAGAGAUGGGGUCGUUGUGUUGCCCAAGCUGGUCUUGAACUCCUAGGCUCAAGCAGUCUUCCUGCCUCGGCCUUAUGCCCCCGCCAGCCAGUUCUUUAUUUUUAAUAUUAUGUUGUAUUUGAUGUGCUAUCCUAUUCAUUUAGUAUAAGCACAUUUUUCUUUAUGUCUUCAGCAUAAUUAUAUGCUUUUUCAGAAUUUUAACAUCAGGACUGCUUCCAGAUUAGCUUCAUUGCCCUUUGUCUUAAGUAUGGAUUAUAGUUUUCAUUCUUUGUAUGUCAAGUAAUUUUGGAUUGUAACUUGAACUUUGAAUAUACUGUAGAAACUCUGAAUUCUAUUUUAUUCUUCUAAAACAAUAUUUCUCAGCUUCAGCACUAUUGACAUUUUGAACUGGGUUAUUUUGUUUGUGUUGUUGUGUGUGUUUUGGGAGGGUACUGUUCUAUAUGCAUUGUGGGGUACUGAGUAUUAUCCUUUGUCUCCACUCACUACUUACCAGUAGCAUAACUCUCUCUCCUCCCCGCAUCCCCUGCCAAAAAAUGCCUUCAAUCCUUUCUAAGCGCUCUUUUGUAUGGUGUUGGGGCCAAAAUCAUACAUCCUUACUCAGUCUUUCUCAUUGAGAGCUAUGGCUGUAAAGGGUAGUGAUGCUUUUACAUAUUUAUUUUUAAGGCAAGCCGUUAACUUAGCUGGAUUCAAAUUCCAGGCUGCCUCGUGUGCUGUGGGAAGCAGCCUACACUCUAUUCAGUUCUUUUCUUUUCAUAUUGGUUGGGUUACUUUGAGUCUGGCCUACGUAAUGGGCGGUUUAGAGGUCAACCAAAGGAUUUCAGCAGAACUUAUACACAGAAUUUCAUUCAGGCUUCCCGUGUCUGAUUCUGCACAGUGUGGGAAUUUCCUCCCACUUUUCAGCCACUGUUGAGGAUGGUUUUUGGCAAAAUUCCUUGAAAUUGGAAACUUACAGGGAAAUUCCUUUCCUCCAAGAGUGCACUCUCCUCCAAUGUUGGCUUGCUUUUGGUUGUUCUCCGUGGUUUUAGAUAGCUGUCUUUAUUAUUAAUUCUGGAGUUUACAGUUGAUAUCUGUUGGGGGCUUAGUUUGAUAACACGUAUUUCUCAAUUACUAGUAGCCAGACCUGUAUGUCUUACCUGACCUGAUGGAGAAAAGUUUCAACUUAUGAGACAAUAAUGUGCUAGCUAGUUUUACUGAUUCGUACUCUAAAGUACCCAAGCCUAAAAUAGUAGAGCUGUCUAUCCCACAUGAAACUUCUCUGAUUUUCACUGUUUUUUAUAAAAAGUAUACAUGUUCAGAUUUCUGUAGGUUUUUUUAAGCAUCACAGUUUUUAUAAAUUUUCUGUAUUUCCAAGGUCUACCUGCUUUGUAUUUUGCCUAGCGAGAGUUUUGUAUUCAUGUAGGAAUAAUCUCUUGGUGUGAGUAUCUAUUUUCCACUCAUCCAAAACAGAUAGAGCAUUGAUUUCACUAAGCGUUAUGUUCUAGUUUGCUUUGGUAUUAUUAUUAGAAAUACCUGGUGAUUAAUUUGAGCUAACUAUUCUUCCCUACCCUCAUUCCCAGCAUUAUCACCCACUUUUCCACUUCCAAGGGGUGGAAGCAUUCUCCACAAUGCAUUUAUUCAUGCCAGAGAAAAAUCUAGAAACAAAUGAAUAAAAUGAAGAAAUUCUUUCCCCUUGGUAUCUGUAGCUAACUUGCCUAAGUGUUCUUUCCCACAGUUCAAGUCUUCAGUCCAUAGUUCAUAAGCAAAGGGGUGUAGCGAGCUCUGAUCUUGCCAGAAGAGAGAAUAAGUGAGCUACCCCAUGGUGGACAUUCUGGCCAUCUGAAAUGAGUCGAUGCAUGUGGCUUUUGUCUAAAGGCUACAAAUAAAAUGUAACCACUUUCUUCUUUGAGUAGUUGAUAUAACAAAUAGUUGAAACAGAAGUUUUGAUUGGCAAAUCAGGAUGUGGUAGAUACUUUAACAAAGAUAGAACUAUUACCAGUUUUAUGUGUUGCUGUUUGUAUCUCUUUCAGAGUUUUGUAUAUCACAUCCUGGAAAGUGAAACAGAAAAUUAUUAAUCCAUUUUAAAUGACUAAAUUUGCCUUCAUGGUAUUUACAGUGAAAGAGUAAAUUAGAAAGUGAAUGGAUGACUGUUAAUGAGAAAAAGCAGGGUAAAAAGAUUUUAUUUAAUUAAUUGAAAAUAUUAGGGUCAAAACAUAGGCUUAUGUUAUGUUUUGUGAAUUGUGCUGUGUUGUAGACAUUUGGUGAGUUCUCCUAACAUAGAAUUGAUCUAGCUCUUGAAAUACCAUUUUUGAUUGAAUAUAAAUGGGAUAUAGGCACCUUACAACUUCACAAUUCGAGGAAGAUGAUGUGAAUCUUCCAAUUUUAUCUAUUUGAUUCAAAUGGUGUGUUUUUUCACAUUUCUCAUAAUUUCCACAUGUCAACUCCCAUGAUGAUCAUGCAGGAAAGCAGCAUGAUUGCACUUCUUGUAGUGCAUACCAUCACUAAAACAUAGUUAUUGUUUUUCUAUGGUCUUAAGAUAAAUUCAGAAACAGCAUACCAAUGUACAUAUAAGAUAAAUAAGCUUAUGUGGAACAAUAAGUGUUCUGUUCUGAGAAAUACCUUGAUUCAUAUUCUAAUGUCUGAUGUUAUUGGUAGUUCUCAAACUUCCCCAAUUCUGCUUUCAUCUAAAUUCAUCUUAAUUCAUCUUAUCUAUCUAUUGUUAAGUAAUCUAUCAGUCCAUUUUUAUCUAUCAUCUAUAUAUCUGUCUUUAUCAAUCAUUCGUCUGUAAUCUAUCUGUGCCAUUUGGCAUAAGAGACCGAAGGGCAUAGCAGUGGAAACUCAAAGGAGUUACCUCCAUGUGAAUGGACAGUGGUGAUGGUGAUCUGUGAGGUGGUGAUGUAUAAAAAGAAAAACUAGAAGAGAGCAUGCCCUAACUCAGGGACCUUGUCCAGCAGGCACUCUGGCCUUGUUAUACUGUGCUUGAAUAUGAAAAAAAAAAAUCAAAAUAGUGCUGACAUUCUGUGUCUUCUGGGUCUGAGAAAACUUAGAGUAGAUAUGAUGACUGCCAUUUCAGUCUUUUGUAUUUCCACAUUUUAAAGCUCAGUUUUAAUUAUGUAGAAUUAUUUCUCCAGCCUGUGUUAAACUAGACCAUGGACUGGCAAACGUUUUUUUGUAAAUUGUCAAAUAUGCAUUUUCAGUUCUGAAAGCCUUGUGGUCUUUGUUGCGGCUAAGCUACUCUGCUGUUGUGUUAUGAAAGCAGCCAUAGGUAAUUUAUAAUUGAAUGAGUGCGCUGUGCCUUUCUUCCAAUAAAACUUUACAAAAGCAUCCUGUGGGCUGGAGUUUACCCUUUGGGAAACCAGAGCAUUGGCUAAACUGGAACCUGAAAAAAUAAUCACAUCAACUCAGCCACAUGGUAAUAAUAUUUAGGGUAUUAUUUCAACAUUUUCGUUUUCAUAAAAAUUUUUUUAGCUCUUUUGCCAAAUUCCGUUUGUGAGUGAUUCAGAUGACUACCACGUGCCAUUAACAUCACCUAAACAGUGCAAAACAAGCAUAGUAGAAGGAAUUGGAAUGAUAUAAACCCCUUGCUGUAAUAGUUAUAGUUGAUAAAUUAUGUUUCAAAAUUGAACCUAUUUCUUCCAAAUUUCAUCUAUAAAGUUCCAAGGAAUUCCAAAAUCUUGCCUGCCUUCUUUUCCCAGUUAGCAGUAUUGUCUCUGAGCAGCCAUGGUGGUAUCCAUCCUCCUUGGACAAUGAAUUUAGCCUAUUUUGACUUCAUUUGAGCAGUUGUAAUUGUUUCACCACAUCAGAGUAAGAUUACUACAUGCCAGAGCUAUUCUUUAAUGCAGCUUGUAAAAACAUGAUAGCAUCAACAAUAUACAUAGCAAAUGAAUGCCAUAUUUAAUCCAGUUAAAUGGUUUUUACAGAUUUGCUCGUUUGUUGAUGCUAUCUGCAUUGCAGUAAUUAAAGGUGAGGUAAAAAGAAUGAAUAAACUGCCAAGUUAAAAUUAAAUUUGGGCAGUUUCUCUUUUGCAGUAAUGUAUGUAUAUUUACUCAAAAUAUAUGCCAAAUUUAGUGUUGAAAGGCUCAUUCAAAUCAAUUGGGAAAGCAUGUAAAUGAAAAAUUCAUAAAAGAAAAGCAUUGCAAAUGGCCAAGAGCAUAGAAAAUGUGCUCAAUCUUAUCAGUCAUUAUAAGGAAAUAAUGAAAUUUGUGUCUAUAUGAAAUACUUAAAAUAUAUAUAAAAUAAAACAAUUAUUUGCUUUUUUUCACCUAUCAGAUUAACAGAUUAUAUGUGUUAACAAGGUGGGGAGAAUUUACAACUCCUGAUGUGUUAAAAUCUUUCAGGAAGGUAGUAGAAAAUAUAUGUAAGAUGGAAAUUAGCACUUUUGACCAACAAUUUUAGUUUUAGAUAUUUACCUAUAAGGAUAUAAUAGGAAGUGUUCAAAGAUGCAUGUAACCUUAAGGGUACUCAAUGUAGUGUUAAUUAUAAUUGUAAAAUAGUAAAUAACAUUUUUGUCAAAUCGUAAUGGUAGGAAAAUUAGUGAUGGCACAUUUAACCAAUUGAAUUAUAUUCAGUUAUGAAUACUGUGAUGCAUGUUCAAAUUAAUUGAUACAAAAAUCUAACAACUUUAGCAGUUUGUUUACCAGUUAUUGAGUACCAACUGUGUUCAACAUUGUUAUUUCACUCAUAUGAAAUGAUAAAUGUAUGUGCUUGUUAUGAUACGGUCAAUAAAACCACUUUUAUAGGAAGAAUACUCACAAAAUA